rnacentral:rRNA from 1 species
AACGCGAAGAACCUUACCUGGGCUCGAACGGCUAUUGAUCGGUGGUAGAAAUAUCGCCUUUCCCGCAAGGGACUGUAGUCGAGGUGCUGCAUGGCUGUCGUCAGCUCGUGCCGUGAGGUGUUGGGUUAAGUCCCGCAACGAGCGCAACCCUUACUCGUAGUUGCUACCCGCAAGGGAGAACUCUACGAGGACUGCUCCGGAUAACGGAGAGGAAGGUGGGGAUGACGUCAAGUCAGCACGGCCUUUAUGUCCAGGGCUACACACGUGUUACAAUGCAUGGUACAGACUGUUGCGAACCCGCGAGGGGGAGCUAAUCGGCCAAAGCCAUGCUCAGUUCGGAUUGCAGUCUGCAACUCGACUGCAUGAAGCUGGAAUCGCUAGUAAUGGCGUAUCAGAUCGACGCCGUGAAUACGUUCCCGGGCCUUGUACACACCGCAUAC